GGGGAAGUAUGAGUUUGCAAGUUGAAACUUAAAGGGCAAUUGACGGACAAGGGCCUCACAAUGAAUGGAGCUUGCGGUUAAUUUGACUCAACACGGGGGAAAAUUUACCAGGUCCUGAACUUAUCGAGUAAGACAGAUUGAUAGCUCUUUCUCAAUAUAGGUAGUGGUGCAAGCGCCGUGUCUUAGUUCGUGAAAUGAUUUGUCCUGGUUAAUUCCGAUAACAGAAGUGAUCAAACAUCAGUAACCUAGAACGGCUUGUGCAGAUGGCGCCUCCAGGCAGCACCUGACGUUACCCAGCCGGGCCGGCGUCCUUCAGGCGGUCGUCGGCUACAGUUUGCAUGCUAGCGGAAACUUGUGUUUAGCAAGCUGAGAUGAGCGAUAACGGUCCGUGUGCCUUAGACUGUUCCUGGCUGUCACGCCGCGUGCUACAAUGGGUCGCAGGUGUUCUCGCCAAUAGGCCCCCCAUUCCGGAGAGGAACGGAAAUCACUAAAAUGACCCAUGCUAGUCGGGAUGGGGACUGCACGGUCCCCAUGAACCUGGAUAUUUCUAGUAAGCACUAGUCUUACUUAGUGCUGAUUAGUCCCUGCCUUUGUACACACUCUGCCCCGUCCUACUACCGAUGGAUUAUUUAGUGAGGUUUCUGGAGGCUUAUUCCGCGGUCCUUUCGUGAGCUGCAAGCUGAUGCUGAAGUGACCGAACUUGAUGAUUUAAGGAAGUAAAUAGUCGAUAACAAGGUUUCGUAUGGUUGGGGAACCUGGCGGAAG
rnacentral:rRNA from 1 species